UAUUUUGAACCCCCUGCGGUAUAUUGAACCCCCUGUUUUUGAUAAAUAGUAUUGCAGAUAAUCUAAUUUACAAUUUAUUGGCUAUCAUUUUUUUUAAUUUGUGGUUUUAAGUAGGGGGUUCAAUAUACCGCAGGGGGGUCAAAAUAC
rnacentral:sRNA from 1 species